AACGAACGCUGGCGGCAUGCCUAACACAUGCAAGUCGAACGAGACCUUCGGGUCUAUUGUCGCACGGGUUCGUAACGCGUGGGAAUCUGCCCUUGUGGUCGGAAUAACAGUGAGAAAUUACUGCUAAUACCGGAUGAUAGCUUCGGACCAAAGAUUUAUCGCCCAGGGAUGAGCCCGCGUAGGAUUAGCUAGUUGGUGGGGUAAUGGCCUACCAAGGCGACGAUCCUUAGCUGGUCUGAGAGGAUGAUCAGCCACACUGGGACUGAGACACGGCCCAGACUCCUACGGGAGGCAGCAGUGGGGAAUAUUGGACAAUGGGCGCAAGCAUGAUCCAGCAAUGACGCGUGAGUGAUGAAGGCCUUAGGGUUGUAAAGCUCUUUUACCCGGGAUGAUAAUGACAGUACCGGGAGAAUAAGCUCCGGCUAACUACGUG
rnacentral:rRNA from 1 species